AGGUAACUAGAAAACAAAUGAAAAUGAAGAGUCCUUAAUUUUCAUUUGUUUUCUAGUUACCUCU
rnacentral:miRNA from 1 species